rnacentral:rRNA from 1 species
AGUGAACGCUGGCGGUAGGCCUAACACAUGCAAGUCGAACGGCAGCACAGUAAGAGCUUGCUCUUACGGGUGGCGAGUGGCGGACGGGUGAGGAAUACAUCGGACUCUACUUUUUCGUGGGGGAUAACGUAGGGAAACUUACGCUAAUACCGCAUACGACCUACGGGUGAAAGCAGGGGAUCUUCUGACCUUGCGCGAUUGAAUGAGCCGAUGUCGGAUUAGCUAGUUGGCGGGGUAAAGGCCCACCAAGGCGACGAUCCGUAGCUGGUCUGAGAGGAUGGUCAGCCACACUGGAACUGAGACACGGUCCAGACUCCUACGGGAGGCAGCAGUGGGGAAUAUUGGACAAUGGGCGCAAGCCUGAUCCAGCCAUACCGCGUGGGUGAAGAAGGCCUUCGGGUUGUAAAGCCCUUUUGUUGGGAAAGAAAAGCAGCAGGUUAAUACCCCGCUGUUCUGACGGUACCCAAAGAAUAAGCACCGGCUAACUUCGUG